UGGGGAAUUUUGGACAAUGGGCGCAAGCCUGAUCCAGCAAUGCCGCGUGCAGGAUGAAGGCCUUCGGGUUGUAAACUGCUUUUGUACGGAGCGAAAAGGUCUGCCCUAAUACGGUGGGCUCAUGACGGUACCGUAAGAAUAAGCACCGGCUAACUACGUGCCAGGAGCCGCGGUAAUACGUAGGGUGCGAGCGUUAAUCGGAAUUACUGGGCGUAAAGCGUGCGCAGGCGGUUAUAUAAGACAGAGGUGAAAUCCCCGGGCUCAACCUGGGAACUGCCUUUGUGACUGCAUAGCUAGAGUACGGUAGAGGGGGAUGGAAUUCCGCGUGUAGCAGUGAAAUGCGUAGAUAUGCGGAGGAACACCGAUGGCGAUGGCAAUCCCCUGGACCUGUACUGACGCUCAUGCACGAAAGCGUGGGGAGCAAACA
rnacentral:rRNA from 1 species